CGCGCGCGUUUUGCAAGCAAUUAAACUAAAAGCUAAAUUCUAACUAAGUUUUGUAGUUGUGCAAAAUAAAAGUUUUCUCAGCUUUGCCGCUAACAACAACGCCGACGCCGACGCCACCGUCGCCGUCGCCGUCGCAGGUCGUCGUCGCCGUCAAAAAAAGUGCUCAAACAAGAUUUCCACUUGAAAUUCCUGAAUUUCGUUCGCGACGCGCAGCACACAAAAAGAAAAAUAAAAUUAAAUAAAAGAAGAAGCAAAAUAUAAAUCGAAAUAUAAAAGCGCAAUACAAAUAUAUACAAAAAGUUUCAGCAAGUGCAGACGGCAUUUUGAAUGUGUUUAUAACGGUGUCUGCAGCUAUUUAUAUGUGUGCAUGUGUGUGUUUUAAUUUUGUGCAGUUUGGCAACACAUUUGGAUUAGCGGCACUUUUUAUUUACCUAGACUGUGCGCGACUAAACGAUACUUCUAUUAUCGCAACAGCUACCGAUAGUUUUUGAUAAACAAGUUAUGCGCGCAGCAGGUCACAGCCGAACGGAGCUCACGAUGAUGAAGUUGCUGGCGAGGCGUCUCUGAACUGCUGACAGCCAAGUGCCAGUGCGUAUCUCAAAGAUACAAAGAACAACAACAACCAGAAGAAGUCUUAGCGCAUUUCCGGCUGGACGCACCUACCUAACACGAAGUGGACGGCUGGCUACCUACGCACUCGCUGCUCGUCACUCGUCACUCGUCACUUUGCCACACGCUACUCGUCACUCAUCACUCGCUGCUAGACUGAGGCGCUGCCCCUGCAACUGGCCAGCUGCUAUCAGUUCUGCCGUGAAGCGCGGUCGCGACGGGCUGCAAAAAAAAAGGUAAAUA